GAUGAACGCUAGCGGGAGGCUUAAUACAUGCAAGUCGAACGGUAACAGAGAUUAACUUCGGUUAGUCUGCUGACGAGUGGCGCACGGGUGAGUAACGCGUACAUAACCUACCUUAGACAGGGGGAUAGCCUUGGGAAACUGAGAAUAAUACCCCAUAGUAUUAUAAUAUCGCAUGGUAUGAUAAUUAAAAUUUCGAUGGUCUAAGAUGGAUGUGCGUCUGAUUAGCUAGUUGGUAAGGUAACGGCUUACCAAGGCGACGAUCAGUAGGGGGCGUGAGAGCGUGAUCCCCCACACGGGUACUGAGACACGGACCCGACUCCUACGGGAGGCAGCAGUAAGGAAUAUUGGACAAUGGGCGAAAGCCUGAUCCAGCCAUCCCGCGUGCAGGAUGACAGCCCUCUGGGUUGUAAACUGCUUUUGUAUAGGACGAAACGCCUUCAUUUAUGAGGGUCUGACGGUACUAUAAGAAUAAGCAUCGGCUAACUCCG
rnacentral:rRNA from 1 species